rnacentral:misc_RNA from 1 species
UUUCCGUAGGUGAACCUGCGGAAGGAUCAUUCAUAAUAAGUGUUUUAUGGCACUUUUUUAAAUCCAUAUCCACCCUGUGUGCAAUAUCAGGGUUGAUUUCUCUCUCGAGAGGAUCAACCCCAAACAUCAACUAUAUCUCAACUCUUUGUCUGAAAAAUAUUAUGAAUAAAACAAUUCAAAAUACAACUUUCAACAACGGAUCUCUUGGCUCUC